rnacentral:misc_RNA from 1 species
GGGAGCUCGAAUCAUGAUCUUGUAGACACCAUUGACGAGUUUAGUUACUGGCUAUGGCUAUAGAAAUGGAGGCAUCCCUAUCGGGGGACUCAGGUCUCGGCUCAGAAGCAGGUCCUUCCCACUCCCAUCCGCCCGGACCUCACCGUUUUCCUCUUGCCGCUCAGCCGGAGAUUAUGCGAGCAGCAGAAAAGGACGAUCAGUACGCCUCGUUUGUUUAUGAUGCUUGUCGCGACGCUUUCCGCCACCUCUU